GCUGGGCGUGGUGGCGGGUGCCUGUAGUCCGAGCUACUUGGGAGGCUGAGGCAGGAGAAUUGCUUGAACCCAGGAGGUGGAGGUUGCAGUGAGCUGAGAUCGCGCCACUGCACUCCAGCCUGGGCGACAGAGCAAGACCUUGUCUCAA
rnacentral:sRNA from 1 species